rnacentral:lncRNA from 1 species
GACGCCCUGGUUUCACUGAUGAGACAGCUGGGGCACAGAGGAGCUGUCACCUGCCCAAGGGCGCACUCUGUGGGCGGCAGGCCCCCCACCACCUUGCCAAGCAUGCUGUGAAAGGGCCAGGGCCUCCUGGGACCCCAGCGUCCUCAGAGCUUCUCGCUAUGAAGUCCUGACUCCCAGCUCUGCCUGGUACCCAACCCGGCUGUCUCUGGAGCACAGGUGAGCACUUCCGGGUGCCCUGCCCAUCCUGGUGCCUCUAAGGAUGAAACAGUGGCGUCCAGGAGUGCCGACCACCAAGCUGUCGAUUUGUGGAUCAGGCAGGAUGCCUGCCUGCCUGCUGCCCACCCCCCACCCCCACCGUCUGAGCCCUAAAGCCGAGCAGAAGAUGAGAAAAGACUCGUGCAGGGGUGGCGUUCUUCGCCAUGGACCACGAAGGGUAGGAGGAGAAGGUGCAGGAGAAGGUGUGAUCUGCUCCAGAGCUCGGCCCUUAAAGACCUCGUCAGGGCUUGGAGUGCGGCGUUGGAAGAAAGACCGCUGGUCACCACGUGGUGCCUCGGCUGUUCCUGGGAGCCAGGCGUGGCCCAAGCAGCACUUACUGAGUAGCUGUCAGGCGUCAAGGGGAGGCCAGGCUCUGGACGCGUGGGCCUGGGACAGCCUGGGGCCCGGGACCCUCUGCUGCAGUGCGUGCACGUGGACACACGUCUGCUCCAGAAGCAAAACACAAAGGGACCGCCAGGGACUAACAACACCAGCAAGCGCACUCGCGUGGGCAGAUCGGGCAAAUCAUGGACGAGCUACAGAAAGACCAAAAAGCCCAUGGCCGCUUCUGAACCACCAGCAGCCGAAAGAGCAAAACAGCAGGUACAGUGCGCGUGGCGCCUGCAUUCAACACCACCUAAGGGGUGGGCAAGCCUCCUAACCACCCCUCUGGGCCGAACCCUGGACACACCCCUGCUCGCCCCAUGUACGGAACCAGCUCAACUCCCUCAGCGGGCGAGCAAGGGGAGCUGUUUGUUCUUGCCUCCCCCUGCUGCAGCAGGGGCCCCAUAAAGCCUUGCCUGAACUUCUUGUCUGGCCUCUGAUCAAUUUCUAUUGAUUGGGGAAGGCCAAGAACCCUGGUUGGUGUCAGACUCAAUCCUUAACAUCACCCUGUGAAUUAAUCUUCUUGUUCAUUUAUUUUACAGAUGCCCCCUGAGUCCCGGGCACUGUGCCAAGGGACAGGGGUCCUGCCCUCAUGGGGCACGAGGCCAACAGUAAGGAUACCACCAGCCACGAGGUCAGGCCCAGCCAAGGCCCUGUUUGGGUGUCGGUCAGAGCUGAGCAGAAGGCCACGCUUGAACAAAAUACAGGGACUGUCAGACCAGAGGUGGCCGAUGUCCAGCCCCACAGUGCUUUGGAACCAGCCCUGGAGGAGGGUGGGCACCCCACCUGGCCACUCACCAGGGUGGACCCCGGACCCUCUCGCCCGUCCCUAGUUCACAGGUGGGAGGGGACGCUGCCAGGGUCCCAGGGCUGUUGCAUGUGCUGUGUGAAAUCCAGGCCAAGAGGACCCCGUGCCAGGCACGCGAGUCGCCCACAGGUGUUGAACGGCACUGACCAAGCCCAGUGGCCCGGUGGCCAUCAAGGUGGCGUUUCCCUGGAGGCCUGACACGGGGCGGACCGUACCCCAGGACAAUCCCUCGAGGCCGCCAGGGUCUGAGUAACUCACCAGGGGCCGGGCUCUCUGCAGGGUCACUCCAGGGCUCUGGCUGGGUCAUGUCUGUGUCUUCACUGCAGUGACUGGAGAGACAAAAAAUGGAGCUGCUAACAUUUGCAGAAAUCGUUUCUAACAGUGUUAGAUGUUGCUAAUUAAAAUGGCUCAUGCUGCUCCAAACUGAGGCAAAUCAAUCAUUUGUUAGCAAAUCAAAGGCCGUUCUUUC